AAGAAAGUACUAUAAUAAUAGAAGUAGAUAUAAUAAAAAACACACGAGAUGAUAAGAAGAAAAGAUAAGCUGGCUGUGGAGUGGAAAAAAUGUCACAUCUUACAAUGUUAUUUAUCAUCGAACCAAGUCCAAAUUAUGUACGGGUGUGCUAGUGUGAGUGAGACAUGAGUGUGGACAGUGUGCGAAACGCGAGCAACUCCUAGACGCAACAAUAUCGUAAGAGUCUAUGAAUAAGUUGUAAAAAUACAUUCUAUUUGCGAAUCAUACGAAAUAAUAACAAAUGGAGAAGAAUCAAUGUCGCAGACUGCUUGAAAUUUACAAAAUUCUUUUGCCGAAGACAGAUAAAACUUUAAAAAAAACUAAACUCAUAUAACAUAAAGAGACAUAUGCCAAAGUUGCAAAGAUCCUUAUAUAUGUCUAAGAGACUUUAUUACUUCAGAACCAUUAAGGGAAAUCAAUUAUAAGAAAUCUUAAAUCAAAUAAUGGAUAAGAAGGAGCAGUCAUGCAAAGUCCAUUAUUAUAGAUAGGUUGAGUUCAGUCGAGUUGACAAUAAAAGCCGGAAAAAUUACAAUUAGCCCAUUGUUAGAGCAAAUAGGUGUGAAAAUUGAGACUAAUUAUCAACGCAAAUCUGGUGACGCUAGUACUCUUUUUGGUAAUACAGUAGUGUUGAUAGCAAUGAUGGCUGCAUGUUAUGAUUUUGAUGACGUUGAGCUAGGUAUGUAGGCAGAGAGAAACCUGAGAGCGGCCACGUCAUAGGGUUUACUUGGGACCGAUUUUCGCCAUCAAAGGCUGCGUUCAGAAACACCACCCGGGUACCCCAGCGUAUCAUUCUAUCCUUGUUGCUCAUCGUAUGUUAAACAAGGAUAAAAUAUACGCUGGUGCGUUCGGGUGACGUUUCUGAACGCAGCCAAAAGUGGAUGUAAGAACGGGGUGUUUACGUGUAGUAAUCAGAUUUGCAAUCGGAUUAAUCGCAGUCUAGAAAACCGACUUGGAGAAAAGUUCCCUAGAAUAAUCGGAUUUAUAAACAUGUCUAUGGAACAAUCAGAUUAUAUCAGAUUAAUACGGGAUUGUAGGAAAACGCGCAAAAAUUUCUCGUCGCAGAAUUUUGAGAAGUGAAUAGUAAGGAUUUUCUUUUAGUUUUUAUGUGCUUGAGAAGUGGAGUAUUUUGUGUAAGAAUGACCCUUUAGAUUAUGUUAAGUUAUAAUUAAAAUAUUUAAAUUGUGAUGCAAGUAAACGUUGAAUGAAAUAAGUGGCGAUAAGUUCAGUUUGGUGGGUAGUCUGAUACUAGUCAAUAAAGUCUCUACCUUUUCCAUUCUUUUAAUUGAUUUCAAUUAAUUCUUCAAUUGACGCUUAUACGUAUAUAAAAACUGCCUUUUAGUUAGUCAAUUCUGUUUACGCAGUUUACUCUCCACUUUGUUCUACCGUUGUUUCUAACUCGCAACUAAACAGGGUAGGUAAACACAAAACAACAGUUUAGUUUGGUGUCGUCGGUUGAGAAAGCGUGGUAAAGAAUACGCGUGAUGCGGAGAAUUUGUGUUUUAAAAUGAGAGUGCCAAUAUAUUCUUAUGGUAUACUUGGUAACAGAGAAGCUGCUAAUACAAAUGUAAUGAAAGUGUUUGACAAGAAUUUGAAAUAUUUGCGUAUGAAAGAUGGCAGAUAUGGUAGAAUAAAUAAGACUGAUGGUUAUAUCGUAUACAAGCAAAUCAGCCAAAUAAAGUAAAAGUAGCAACGCACUCGAAAUAACCGCCAUCUUUCCCUAACCCAAACAACACGUGUAUACCUACUUUCUAUCUUUUAGACGUGCGUGCUGUAUAGAUAAGGUAAACCCCACGAACAAUAAUAUAAAUAAUGUAAAUUAUACAAGAAAAUAAUCAAGAUUAUUUUCUCCAAAAUACAAUUAAACCAAUUAUGCCCACUUCUAAUUUUCAUAUCAUUAUUUUAUAUCACAUUACAUAUUCUUAUAAAUAUUGUAUUUAGAGAUAAAGCAAUUUUACAGAUAAUAUCAUUCAGGUAAAUCAAAUAAAUAAACCACUAAUGUUUUCCACAACUUAUUGUUCGGCAAACUCACCUACAGGUCAGUCGUAAUCUAUCCGUCAGAUACGAAUGUGCUCUAACACGCGUCCUAUCGUGGAAAUGUCCGACGACUUAUUAGUACUACACUUCAAUCCGAUAAUUUGCGAAAUCCACAUGUAAGUUACUAUAUAAUAAGUUUAAGUAGCACUAAGUAAGGCAUGUAACAGUGAAACUAAAACAUUCACCGUUUUAUCUCUCAAGGUUCAAAUACAUGUAAGCACAAAUCACUUGAGAAGGACCACAAUCCGGAUGGUCGAAACGUAGUGGAUAUAAUUCAAUAAAGUUUAUGCCAGUUGGGUCGACUAAAUCACUCAUUACUGCAAAUAAAUAAAGUAAACGUAGCAAUAAACUCAAAAUAACCUCCUUGCCAAUAAUGAGUUUAGCGUUUCGAGUAAUAAAAGACAUAGAUAGAACUCGUGCGGGGGUAUAGGAAACUUGGGUCAGAACUACGGAUUUCUAAAAUUUUUACUUUUCGGGACGUGGAAAUUUUCGACUCCUAUAUUAAAGUUGCUGCAUCGGGAUCUGUAAAGUUAACACGAUAUUCUUCGAAUUUCAAAAAGAUAUUAACAGUUCUAAUAGCACUUUCGAUAGUUCCAGAGUUCCUAAAAAAAUUAGAAAAAGUUCCGCAACCAUUAUAAUAAAAAAUCAAAAUUGAAAAAUGUGCAACUGUGAUUCAUGAAUGCUUCAACAGGAUUGGGGCUGCUGAAACAAGGAUUCAGGGACUUCAACAGGAAAAUUGAAAAAAUGUACUUCGCUUUUUUUUGGAUUUUCCCCGCUGCGGGAACGCCGUCAACCGGUAGGUUAUUUAGCGAUGUACUAACUUCGCGAAGCUAGCACGACACACUCUCCUCUAAAGUACAAAAACGCGUUGUAUAUUAUCAAUUUUGACAAGAGAUCCCGAUACUUCUAAUCGAGAUUCGUAUAUAUAUACAAUUUCAGAUAAAUGUUCCACCAAUUCCCAUUUUUUAACGCACUUCUUAACAUCAGACAUCAGCAGUCUAACGAUACUGCUCGACGGUUCUGCAGAGCUCUAUGAUUAGUAUUAGUUUUACAAAGAGCUUGUGAUUUCCUUUUUGGAUCUCACUAGCAUUAAGAGCGUGAGAUUACGCUAGAAAAUUACUGGAAAAUGAAGCAGCUAUUCACAUACUAGUGAAUAAUGCAGGUGUGGCUACAUAUCAGGACGAGUGUUAAAAGACAUCGAUAGAACUCGUGCGGAGGCACAGAAAACUCGUAUCAGCAAUAAACUCGAAAUAACCUCCACUUCUCCCUGAGGUAAAUUUCUACUAUGGUAGUUUAAACGUUGGUAAGACUUUUUCAUUAUAUGCAAACAUUAAUACUUGUGUUUUGUGUCACUUGCUGAAUAGCUUCUAUAAUCGGUAUAUUUAUUUUAUUUAUUAUUUACUGUUUUAUAAAAUAUCUCUUUCUCUCUCUUUAUUACAACUCAUAUAACAUUAAUGUACAUGUUGAAUAAACUGCUUUAUAUGAUAUAUGUUAUUAAUAUAAGUUUUAAUAAAAAAUUGAUGUAAAAUUUAAUAAUAAAUUAUUACACUGGUCCCUAGAAGCCCCCCCACGUUGCCUGGUAUGCACGAGUCUUUCAUGGUAGUCACGUGAUCGCUAUGCGCAUGGCAGAAAGGCUCGCGCUACUGGCGCUACUGCGCGUGCGCCAGAAAUCCUGCAAUCUCAUCACUGAUCCCGAAUCGGAACACUGUGAAAUUUUGACCAUGGGUCGUUGGAUGUCGCAUAUUUUAAACUUCUUGGUGACAAAUAUUCAAAAAGUAGUUAGCAGAUUACAAUUCUAUUUAUGGUUUCGUAUAACAACGUUUUUCGAGACAGCAACGACCACAUGCAUGGUGACGGUGACGGCAGAGCUAGGACGGAGGAGUCGUCAUCGUCCGUAUCGUCGUCGACGACAUCAGAAUAUUGAGAAUCCCGUAAAAGAAGCAAGAUGGUACCGUGCUGGGCGCGGGCGCAAGGAAGGGUGGAACAGCCGCCCCUACGCUAUGAAAUACGGAAACAUUUACUUUUAUUAAAUAUUAAUUACUUUACUUAUUAUAUAAUGUCUACAUUAUCGUGUAUAUAUCUUUUAUUAUAUAUAUAUACUUUACAAAAUUAUGUCUCUUACGUUAUUCAAAUGUCUCUCUCACGUUAAAUGUCUCUCACAUUUAAAAAAAAGAGAUAGAAAAAUUAUAAAUCUCUGAAUCGUCUUUCAGUAGUGUUAACGUAACUAGUUGACAUCGACUAUCUUACCUAUCUAACUCGAAUCGAAGUUCUAGUAUGUGUAAUAUUUGAAAUAAUGUAAAUAAAUUAUGCAAAAGAGUCAACAAAUGAGUGGGUUCAAUUUGAACAACGUUCAAACUUUUGUUUAGAAAUUCGCGUAUAACAUGUACUUAUUCAGUUUAGCGUUUCGAGUGAUAAAAAAAGACAUUCAUAGAACUCGUGCGGGGGCACAGAAAACUCGCGUUAGAAUUGCGGAUUUCGAAAAUUUUCACGUUUCGUAUACAAACUAAACUUAGACGCAGUUGUAUUUGACAAUAAAAAGAAUCGUGUUCGAACUUUUGUUUAGAAAUUCGGGCGUAACAUGUAUUUAGUUUAGCGUUUCGACUGAUAAAAGACAUUCAUAGAACUCGUGCGGGGACACAGAAAACUCGUAUCAGCAAUAAACUCGAAAUAACCUCCACCUCUCCCUGAGGUAAAACCUGAUAAAAGACGUCGUCAGAAUUAAUGCCAGGGAACAGAAAACUCGCGUUAGAAUUGCGGAUUUCAAAAAUUUUCACGUUUCGUAUACAAACUAAACUUAAACGCAGUUGUAUUUGACAAUAAUAAAAAGAAUCGUGUUCGAACUUUUGUUUAGAAAUUCGGGCAUAACAUGUAUUUAUAGCGUUUUCGAUUUUCUGACUUCUGACAAGAUUUGAACCAAAUUUCUGCAAAAAUCUUACUUUUGAUCAAACUUUUCUGACUCGGAGUCGGGUCGAGUCAGCAAAUCAAAAACGCUAUUAGUUUAGCGUUUCGACUGAUAAAAGACAUUCAUAGAACUCGUGCGGGGGCACAGAAAACUCGUAUCAGCAAUAAACUCGAAAUAACCUCCACCUCCCCCUGAGGUAAAUCCUGAUAAAAGACAUCGUCAGAAUAAAUGCGAGGGAAUAGAAAACUCGCGUUAGAAUUGCGGAUUUCCAAAAUUUUCACGUUUCGUAUACAAACUAAACUUAAACGCAGUUGUAUUUGACAAU